UGCCGGUUACUGGCUGGUCAGGAGUCGCAAUCCCGCGAGGGGGAGCUAAUCUCAAAAAGCCAGUCUCAGUUCGGAUUGAAGUCUGCAACUCGACUUCAUGAAGCCGGAAUCACUAGUAAUCGCGAAUCAGCAAUGUCGCGGUGAAUACGUUCUCGGGUCUUGUACACACCGCCCGUCACACCAUGAGAGUUGGUAAUGCCAGAAGCACGUAUCCUAACCGUAAGGAGGGAGCGUACCAAGGUAGGAUUAGCGAUUAGGGUGAAGUCGUAACAAGGUAUCCGUACGGGAACGUGCGGAUGGAUCACCUCCUUUCUAUGGAGUAUCAUAGUUUAGAGAAAAAAAGCUGAGCGAAUCGGUGUAACAGCUUAUGAGUAUAUCUCGUUCUAUCUAGUUUUCAGAGAUUGUUUUGCGCCAAUGCGGCGCAGCAAUUUCUGAAAAGAAAAUCGUUCUUUGAAAACUGAAUAUUAGAUGAAAAAAAUAGACAUUUAAUUUUUCUUACGUUUAACAAUAAAACGUAAAAAUAGUAACUAAAAUUACUAAGAAAAACUAAAAUUUCAAAAAAAUAUAGAUUAUUUUAUAAUGCAAAAUAGGUCUUUCUUUAAGAAAGUAUAGUAAGGGCAUAUGGUGAAUGCCUUGGAAAAUGGAGCCGAUGAAGGACGCGACUACCUGCGAAAAGCGCCGGGGAGCUGGAAGUAAGCUUUGAUCCGACGAUGUCCGAAUGGGGAAACCUACUAUGAUUAAUCUCAUAGUGUCCAUAACUGAAUACAUAGGUUAUGUGAAGGGAACCUGGGGAACUGAAACAUCUUAGUACCCAGAGGAAAAGAAAACGAAUGUGAUUCUGUAAGUAGCGGCGAGCGAAAGCGGAACAGGCCAAACCGGUCUUCGGGCCGGGGUUGUAGGACUCUUGUUAGAGUUACAAAGUUAGUGUAUAGCAGAAGCUGUUGGGAAGCAGCGGCGUAGAGGGUGAUACCCCCGUAUGCGAAAUGCACUAACCUCGAAAGAGUAUCCUGAGUACGGCGGGGCACGUGAAACCCUGUCGGAAUCUACCCAGACCACUGGGUAAGCCUAAAUACUACCAUUUUACCGAUAGUGAACCAGUACCGUGAGGGAAAGGUGAAAAGUACCCCGUGAGGGGAGUGAAACAGUUCCUGAAACCAUAUGCUUACAAGAAGUCAGAGCCCGUUAAUGGGUGAUGGCGUGCUUUUUGUAGAAAGAGCCGGCGAGUUACGAUAUCAUGCAAGGUUAAGCAGAAGAUGCGGAGCCGUAGUGAAAGCGAGCCUUAAUAGGGCGUUCAGUAUGAUGUCGUAGACACGAAACCGGGUGAUCUAGCCAUGAGCAGGUUGAAGUUAGGGUAAGACCUAAUGGAGGACCGAACCAACGUUCGUGAAAAGACCGUGAAUCACCUUGGUUAAAUGGGA
rnacentral:sRNA from 1 species